GCUUAAGAAUCAAAGACAGUGUCCACACCUCAGGCUCAAAGGGAUGCUCUUACAGGGAAGAACAAGUCCCAGGGUCAGAAUCUGCACAGUUUGAGGCUGGCAUAAGAAAACUCUGAGCUUGAGAGAAGCUGCAGAAAACAGAUGUUGAGACCAAAUUCAGAGUCAGGAUUCUGAGAAGUCCUCUUUCAGGUCUUGGAGAUCUGAACAGAGCAGUUAGUGGAAGCCAAAAAGUGAUUCUGAUAUAAGCCCAAGUCCCAGAACCACUGGACCUCAUUAAAAGGGCUCUCUUGCUCUCAGGAUUCAGGGUGGGUUCAUCAACUGGGAAGACCCUGCAGAAGGAUACAGUAAGAAGGUGGCCAAUGACAAGCCAUGAAGAGGUACCUCACCAGAACUGGACCAUCCUGGCACCCUGAUCUUGGAUUUCCUGGCCUCCAGGACUACGUAAAAUAAAUGUUUAUUGUUGAAGCCACCCAGUCUGAAACCAUGCCCCAUGGAGUUAACAGAAGCUGAUAAUAGAAAUUCUUGAGCUUGUCUUGCUGCUGCUGCUGCUGCUAAGUCACUUCAGUCGUGUCCGACUCUGUGUGACCCCAUAGAUAGCAGCCCACCAGGCUCCCCCGUCCCUGGGAUUCUCCAGGCAAGAACACUGGAGUGGGUUGCCAUUUCCUCCUCCAAUGCAUGAAAGUGAAAAGUGAAAGUGAAGUCGCUCAGUCGUGUCCGACUCUUAGUGACCCCAUGGACUGCAGCCCACCAGGCCCCUCCGACCAUGGGAUUUUCCAGGCAAGAGUAUUGGAGUGGGUUGCCAUUGCCUUCUCCGUGAGCUUGUCUUACAGAAUAACAAAUAAGGAACUUGGAAUCUGCUCCUGCCCAGUGCAGGCCAGCUAAGGACUGAUUGGGACCACCCACUCCAAAUCUGGGCCAGUGCAGAUGUCCAAUGAAUGGCCUUUUGAUGUCAGAGGACCAAAAAGCUCCACUCUCAGAUCACAGAGAUUGACUUGCUAUUAAUCACCACUAAAGAAACCAUGGAGUCGUGGCUGCGCAGGUGCAGGAG
ensembl:lncRNA